UAUUAGAGGCAUUGCCUGCCCAGUGACUAAAGUUAAACGGCCGCGGUAUCCUGACCGUGCAAAGGUAGCAUAAUCACUUGUUCCUUAAUUAGGGACUAGAAUGAAUGGCUAAACGAGGGUUCAACUGUCUCUUACUUUCAAUCAGUGAAAUUGACCUUCCAGUGAAGAGGCUGGAAUAUUACAAUAAGACGAGAAGACCCUAUGGAGCUUUAAUUUACUAGUUUAAUUUAUAUAAAAAUAACCUAAUGGCUCAAAACAAAACAAAUAUAAACUAAAAAUUUCGGUUGGGGUGACCUCGGAGAAUAAAAAAUCCUCCGAAUGAUUUUAACCUAGACCCACAAGUCAAAGUAACUCCAAUAUCUCAUUGACCCAAUUAUUGAUCAACGGACCAAGUUACCCUAGGGAUAACAGCGCAAUCCUAUUCAAGAGUUCAUAUCGACAAUUAGGGUUUACGACCUCGAUGUUGGAUCAGGACAUCCCAAUGGUGCAGAAGCUAUUAAUGGUUCGUUUGUUCAACGAUUAAAGUCCUACGUGAUCUGAGU
rnacentral:rRNA from 1 species